GCUGUUCUGAUAAUCACAUACCUCUCCGUGGUGAGCAGCAGGCAACGAUCUUAUGGUCGGCGAAGAUGUGAGA
rnacentral:ribozyme from 1 species